rnacentral:rRNA from 1 species
CCAAUCGGAGGAAAAGAAACCAACAGGGAUUGCCUUAGUAGCGGCGAGUGAAGCGGCAAAAGCUCAAAUUUGAAAUCUGGCGCCUUCGGUGUCCGAGUUGUAAUUUGAAGAUUGUAACCUUGGGGUUGGCUCUUGUCUAUGUUUCUUGGAACAGGACGUCACAGAGGGUGAGAAUCCCGUGCGAUGAGAUGCCCAAUUCUAUGUAAGGUGCUUUCGAAGAGUCGAGUUGUUUGGGAAUGCAGCUCUAAGUGGGUGGUAAAUUCCAUCUAAAGCUAAAUAUUGGCGAGAGACCGAUAGCGAACAAGUACAGUGAUGGAAAGAUGAAAAGAACUUUGAAAAGAGAGUGAAAAAGUACGUGAAAUUGUUGAAAGGGAAGGGUUUGAGAUCAGACUCGAUAUUUUGUGAGCCUUGCCUUCGUGGCGGGGUGACCCGCAGCUUAUCGGGCCAGCAUCGGUUUGGGCGGUAGGAUAAUGGCGUAGGAAUGUGACUUUACUUCGGUGAAGUGUUAUAGCCUGCGUUGAUGCUGCCUGCCUAGACCGAGGACUGCGAUUUUAUCAAGGAUGCUGGCAUAAUGAUCCCAAACCGCCCGUCUUGAA